ACACCACAUGAAAAUGUGAAAAUCGAAUGCCUACCAUUAAAAACUUGUUGAGGUCCUUAGAAGUUGUAGAUCAGGCUUAUAUUUAUAUUUUUCACUUAUCCAUGACUAUGUGACCCUGUGAAUGGGUUAGAUGGUGAAUAAACCUCAAUAUGGGCCCAGUAAAAUAAUCAACUUUCAACGGUGGACAAAUUAAGUCCAUUGUUUCAUGUGGGCCAAUUGAGCAUUAGAUCUUCCUAAUUUUUUCGGAUCAUGCUCUAAUAUAUUCUAGUAAAACAGAUGGACGACACGGAUAUAUUAUAUACUUUAUGGUGGGGUCCACGGGUUUAAGUCAAUAUUUUUGGACUGAUUUUCUAGGUAGAAUUACUCCCUCAUUUUCAAACAAGUGAAAAAGUAAUAAUUACUUUUUUUUAUCAGGGAUUUACCAGAAUCAUGGAAAAUCAAACAAGCCCUUAACCAUCUUGGUUACUGGAAUUACUGGCACAGUUUUACAAAAUUCUGUUGUAGUACUGUCUGAUAACCUUGUUGAUUUCUAGUUCAGGCCCCUAACUAAUUGCAUUUCUUUCUUGUGUAAUCCGAAUGAAGUGCCUAAGGUAUUGAUUGAGCUUUUCUUUUCCACAUGUAACAACUCUUAACGCAAGUCUGUCUCGCAUUAUCAGCACUUGUCAUUCAUGCAGUAGAACACAAGAAGCCCAUUGAGCAGCUAUUUUCUAGUCUUGACCGACUGCGAACCCAGGAUAAUGGUAAUAUUGCUGUUUUAGAGAUGCUUACUGUUCUUCCAGAGGAAGUCAUUGAGGAUCAAAAUACUGAUUGUAACAUCAGUUCGGAUCGUAGAUGCCAGUAUGGCCGAGAGGUUUGAGAAUUUUUACAAUCAUUAUUAUAGUACUCAUUCUUGAUUUUGUCCCAAGUUAUUUUUGAAGAAUCAUGGCUGUUCCUUUCUAUUCCCCUUGUGCAUGCUGCAUGAUAAUCUUAUUAUAUUUAUUCUGAUGUUGCAUGAUCAUCUUGCUAUAUUUAUUUUGUUCUUCAUAGAUGGAUGUAUUUCUUCUACUCAUAAGGCAACCUUUGAUUCUCAAACAGCUUCUUUACAUACUCCUAUUGUUCUUGAAUUCCUGCUGCACCAAUCUGAGCAACGAUCUGAGGAUGGUGUUCAGCUUCAUGAGAAGAGUGGGAAAAUAUUGAGAUGUUUGCUGAGUUGGUGGCAUGUGUAGAAGUUCGUCGCGUCCAUCAUGUUACACUUUUUACUGGAACUCCUGAGUUGCCAUCUGAAAGCUUAGCUGAAUCUUAGGUUCGUGCUGGCUGCAUCUCAAAGAUUCCUCCCUCCUCACUGCCAACUCACCCACUUCUUAAUUUUUGUCUUCAACUCCUUGCAGGUUUCCUCUUCAUUUGAUCUGGCCAUUGAAGUUCUCACGGAGCUUGUGAGUCGGUAUGAGGUAUGGAUGGGCCAGUUCUUGCUUAUAUGAUGAAAAAUUACAAUUAAAACAAUCACAUCCUAUUUCUGCAUCUUAUUGCCUUUCUGGAGGGGUGAGAUAUUUUGCAUGGAUUUGUACUUCAACAAUUGUAUUUCUUUAUGUGCUUUUAACAACCAUCUCUCCGGCAGGGUGUACCCCAGGUUUUGUUGUUCAGGGUACAGUUUCUUAAAGAAGCACUUCUUCUACCUGCUCUUGCUAAUAGCGAUGAGCAAGUAAUUGGUGGUCUUGCAUGCUUGAUGUCCGAAAUUGGCAGUUGCGACAAGCUAUGAUCUUUCCUUAUUUUGCAUUUGUGUGUUUGUUUCUUUCUAAAUCUUUUUUAAUCAUCCAAAGUUGUACAUAUUUAGCAUUCUAAAGGUCGGGUCAAAAUGGGAUACACUUUUUGAAUUGAGUUCUAUAGUUGUCUCCUAAUCACCUCCAAGACCGACCAACUCUUGUAUGAUUUUGAUUGUAUUGAUAGGGUGUUUGAUUAUUUUGGCCUGAAACCAUAGAUUGAAAUUGAUUUAAAAGGAGAAUUGAUCUAUAACAUUUAUUUAGAUAUAUAUAAUUUAUGGAGCUUUGAUUUUUUCUUUUUUUUGUGUGUGUGUGUAAAUUUAGUUAGAAGUAUUAGACUAUCAAACAGCCUCCAAAAGGAGUCAGAUCUGGACAGAUUGAAUUGCAGAAUUGUACUUAUAGUACAGAUUCCAAAAAUCAUUUUUUUAAUGGCUGGAGGUAAAUACAGCCUUAUGUUUUUUUAAUAACAUGGUAGGAAUCUGAAAUUUAAGGCUAUGUUUCCUUUUGUCUGUGGCUUGAUUUUGAGUUUUAUGAUGGAUUUUCAUGAAAGCUUCUUUUACAAUUGCAUUUUCAUUUAAUUUCCUUUUUAUUCCAUGCAGGUGAUGAUAAAAACCUGGAGCAAGUGGUGGCGAUGGUUUUGAACUCGUUCCAAGAUCCCCCACCCUCGUGUGCGCUGGGCAGCUAUUAAUGCAAAUA